GGACGGUGCGAGCGUUAUCCGGAUUUACUGGGUUUAAAGGGUGUGUAGGCGGGCUGGUAAGUCAGGGGUGAAAUCCCGGAGCUCAACUCCGGAACUGCCUUUGAUACUACUGGUCUUGAAUAUUGUUGAGGUGGGCGGAAUGUGUCAUGUAGCGGUGAAAUGCAUAGAUAUGACACAGAACACCGAUUGCGAAGGCAGCUCACUGGGCAAUGAUUGACGCUGAGGCACGAAAGCGUGGGGAUCAAACAGGAUUAGAUACCCUGGUAGUCCACGCCCUAAACGAUGAUUACUGGACGUUGGCAAUAUGACCGAUCAGCGUCUUUGAUAAGCGAAAGCAUUAAGUAAUCCACCUGGGAAGUACGACCGCAAGGUUG
rnacentral:rRNA from 1 species